GAUGAACGCUGGCGGCGUGCUUAACACAUGCAAGUCGAACGGAGCACUUUCGAAAGAGGAUUCGUCCAAUUGAUGAAGUUGCUUAGUGGCGGACGGAUGAGUAACGCGUGAGGAACCUGCCUCGGAGUGGGGAAUAACAGUUAGAAAUGACUGCUAGUACCGCAUAAUACAGUUGAGUCGCAUGGCUCUGACUGUCAAAGAUUUAUCGCUCUGAGAUGGCCUCGCGUCUGAUUAGCUAGUUGGUGGGGUAAAGGCCUACCAAGGCGACGAUCCAUAGCUGGUCUGAGAGGAUGAUCAGCCACACUGGGACUGAGACACGGCCCAG
rnacentral:rRNA from 1 species